GACGAACGCUGGAGGCGUGCUUAACACAUGCAAGUCGAACGAAGUGGCGAACGGGUGAGUCCAGCGUAAUCAACCUGCCCUUCAGAGGGGGACAACAGUUGGAAACGACUGCUAAUACCGCAUAAUGCAGGCGGAGAUAGCGUCUGAUUAGCUAGUUGGAGGGGUAACGGCCCACCAAGCCGAUGAUCAGUAGGCGGUCUUAGAGGAAGAACGGCCACAAUGGGACUGAGACACGGACCAGUCUACUACGGGAGGAAGCAGUGGGGAAUCUUACGCAAUGGACGAAAGGCUGACGGAGCAAAGCCGCGUGAGUGAUGACGGCCUUCGGGUUGUAAAGCUCUGUUAAUCGGGACGCGGUACCGGAAUAGAAAGCCACGGCUAACUACGUGCCAGCAGCCGCGGUAAUAC
rnacentral:rRNA from 1 species